rnacentral:rRNA from 1 species
CCUACGGGAGGCAGCAGUGGGGGAUAUUGCACAAUGGGGGGAACCCUGAUGCAGCGACGCCGCGUGGGUGAAGGAGGGCUUCGGCAUGUAAAGCCCUAUCGGCAGGGAAGAAGCAAGACGGUACCUGACUAAGAAGCCCCGGCUAACUACGUGCCAGCGCCCGCGGUAAUACGUAGGGGGCGAGCGUGAUCCGGAUGCACUGGGGGUAAAGGGGGCGUGGAGGGCCAUGCAAGCCAGGGGUGAAAUCCCGGGGCGCAACCCCGGGACUGCCCUUAGAACUGCAUGGCUGGAGUGCGGGAGGGGCAGGCGGAAUGCCUGGUGUAGCGGUGAAAUGCGGAGAUAUCAGGAGGAACACCGGCGGCGAAGGCGGCCUGCUGGACCGCGACUGACGUUGAGGCUCGAAAGCGUGGGGAGCGAACAGGAUUAGAUACCCUAGUAGUC